AGGGCGCAUGGCGGAUGCCUUGGCUCUCGGAGGCGAUGAAGGACGUGAUAAGCUGCGAUAAGCUUCGGGGAGGUGCAAAUAACCUUUGAUCCGAAGAUUUCCGAAUGGGACAACCCAAUAUCUUGAAGAGAUAUUAUCCAACUCAGUUGGAGGCUAACGCAGGGAACUGAAACAUCUUAGUACCUGCAGGAAAAGAAAAUAAUAAUGAUUCCCCCAGUAGUGGCGAGCGAACGGGGAAUAGCCCAAACCGGUUAUGUUACGGCAUAACCGGGGUAGUAGGACUACGGCAUUGCAUGAAAACAGCAGAGAAGAACUUUCUGGAAAGAAAGACCAUAGAGCAUGAUAGUUGCGUAUUCGAAUGUUGUCGAAGCAUAGUAGUAUCCUGAGUAGCGCGGAGCACGAGGAAUUCUGCGUGAAUCAGCCGGGACCAUCCGGUAAGGCUAAAUACUCCCGAGAGACCGAUAGUGAACCAGUACCGUGAGGGAAAGGUGAAAAGCACUUCGAACAGAAGAGUGAAAUAGUUCCUGAAACCGUGCGCCUACAAGCGGUCGGAGCAGCGUAAGCUGUGACGGCGUGCCUUUUGCAUAAUGAACCUACGAGUUACCGUUGCCGGCAAGGUUAAGGGUCAUGAGGCCUGUAGCCGAAGCGAAAGCGAGUCUGAACAGGGCGUAUAGUCGGUAGUGGUAGACGCGAAACCAAGUGAUCUACCCUUGAGCAGGUUGAAGUCCGGGUAACACCGGAUGGAGGACCGAACCAAUAAGCGUUGAAAAGCUUCUGGAUGACUUGAGGGUAGGGGUGAAAGGCUAAUCAAACUUGGAGAUAGCUCGUACUCCCCGAAAUGCAUUUAGGUGCAGCCUUGACCAUUACUAAUGUGAGGUAGAGCGACUGAUAAGAUGCGAGGGCUUCACCGCCUAUCAAGUCUUGAUAAACUCCGAAUGCGCAUUAGUUUGAGGUCAGGAGUGAGGGCAUGGGUGCUAAGGUCCGUGCCCGAGAGGAGAAGAAUCCAGACCACCUGCUAAGGUCCCGAAAUAACAGCUAAGUUAAACUAACGAAGUCAGAUUGCUAAGACAGCUAGGAUGUUGGCUUGGAAGCAGCCAUUCAUUUUAAGAGUGCGUAACAGCUCACUAGUCGAGGAGUUUGGCGUGGAUAAUAAUCGGGUAUUAAGCUGUUUACCGAAGCAGUGGGAUCAUAUAAUGAUCGGUAGGGGAGCAUUCCACUCUGCGUCGAAGGUGGGGCGUGAGCCCUGCUGGAGCGUGUGGAAAAGCAAAUGUAGGUAUAAGUAACGAUAAAGGGGGUGAGAAACCCCCUCGCCGCAAGACUCAGGUUUCCUGAUCAACGCUAAUCGGAUCAGGGUCAGUCGGGUCCUAAGGCUCAGCCGAACGGCGAGGCCGAUGGCAGAACCGGUUAAUAUUCCGGUACUACCCUUUGGGGUGACGUGGAGACGCAGUCGUGACAAUGCCGCCAGCUGACGGAAUAGCUGGUUAAAGGGUGUAGAAGUUGAUUGUGGCAGGCAAAUCCACCACAAGAUUCGAACCUGACAGUAUGGAGCGUCCUUCCGGACAAUCCAACAGUGCAUGUAAUCAUACUGCCAAGAAAAUCCGCUAAACAUAACCUUCAGGGUACCCGUACCGCAAACGGACACACGUAGUCGGGUUGAAUAUACUAAGGCGCUUGAGUGAUUCACGGUUAAGGAACUAGGCAAAUUAACCCUGUAACUUCGGGAAAAAGGGUCCCUACCCGUUAUCGGGAGGGCGCAGAGAAUCGGUCCAGGCAACUGUUUAACAAAAACACAGGGCUGUGCGAAGUCGAAAGACGCUGUAUACAGCCUGACACCUGCCCGGUGCUGGAAGGUUAAGAGGAGAUGUCAUCGCAAGAGAAGCAUUGAAUUGAAGCCCCAGUAAACGGCGGCCGUAACUAUAACGGUCCUAAGGUAGCGAAAUUCCUUGUCGGGUAAGUUCCGACCUGCACGAAUGGUGUAAUGAUCUGGACACUGUCUCAACCGUGAGCUCAGUGAAAUUGUAGUAUCGGUGAAGAUGCCGAUUACCCGCGAUGGGACGAAAAGACCCCGUGAACCUUUACUAUAGCUUAUCAUUGAAUUUGGGCACGUGAUGUGUAGGAUAGGUCGGAGGCUUUGAAGCAGGCACGCCAGUGUUUGUGGAGCCGCUGUUGAAAUACGACCCUUCAUUUGUUUGAGUUCUAACCCGUUGUCACGGGGACACUGAUUGGUGGGUAGUUUGACUGGGGUGGUCGCCUCCAAAAGUGUAACGGAGGCUUCUAAAGGUGCCCUCAGACCGAUUGGUAACCGGUCUCAGAGUGUAAUGGCAUAAGGGCGAUUGACUGGGAGACUAACAAGUCGAGC
rnacentral:rRNA from 1 species